CGGACGGGGGAGUAAUGUCUGGGAAACUGCCCGAUGGAGGGGGAUAACUACUGGAAACGGUAGCUAAUACCGCAUAACGUCGCAAGACCAAAGAGGGGGGACUUCGGGCCUCUUGCCAUCGGAUGUGCCCAGAUGGGAUUAGCUAGUAGGUGGGGUAACGGCUCACCUAGGCGACGAUCCCUAGCUGGUCUGAGAGGAUGACCAGCCACACUGGAACUGAGACACGGUCCAG
rnacentral:rRNA from 1 species